rnacentral:rRNA from 1 species
CCUACGGGAGGCAGCAGUGAGGAAUAUUGGUCAAUGGCCGUAAGGCUGAACCAGCCAUGCCGCGUGAAGGUCAGUGCCCCAUGGGCGUUAAACUUCUUUUGUGCGGGAGCAAUAAUGGUCACGUGUGGCCAGACGAGAGUACCGUACGAAUAAGCAUCGGCUAACUCCGUGCCAGCAGCGGCGGUAAUACGGGGGAUGCAAGCGUUAUCCGGGUUUAUUGGGUUUAAAGGGUGCGUAGGCUGGGAGGUAAGACAGCGGGGAAAUGCCCCCGCUCAAAGGGGUGAAGUGCCAUUGAUACUGCCGUGCUGGAGUGCGGAUGCCGUAGGAGGAAUGUGUGGUGUAGCGGUGAAAUGCAUAGAUAUCACACAGAACACCGAUUGCGAAGGCAUCUCACGAAUCCGCGAUUGACGCUGAUGCACGAAAGCGUGGGUAUCAAACAGGAUUAGAUACCCGAGUAGUC